UUGGUCAUUUGACAUCCUCAGGGAAUGAAGCGAGGUCCCCCCUUUUCCAUUCACCGAAGCUGUUCUCUUCCUGGCCACCAGAGGGCACCCACAGGAGCAUACAGAGCCUGGGGUCAUAGGAGAAAGAGGCGCUUGGCUAAUCCCGUUAUUCAGGCUGCUGUGAGAAGCAGAAGCACUGGAUCAAUGGGAAGCUUGGACUACAAUGAUUUUUGUCCCACAGAAAGUUGGAGACCUGACCUGGGCCGGCACUCCAGGCUGGGCAUCCUCUGGCCCAACUGCAGCGUUUUGCUUCCCAUUCUCCAAGCUGAACCCAGAGCUCCCUGGCCCAGCAGUACACAGGGGUUCCUCUUGCUCGCCUUGUGCGCCUGGCAUGGC
ensembl:lncRNA